rnacentral:rRNA from 1 species
UCCAGACUCCUACGGGAGGCAGCAGUGGGGAAUAUUGCACAAUGGGGGAAACCCUGAUGCAGCGACGCCGCGUGAGUGAAGAAGUAUUUCGGUAUGUAAAGCUCUAUCAGCAGGGAAGAAAAAAGACGGUACCUGACUAAGAAGCCCCGGCUAACUACGUGCCAGCAGCCGCGGUAAUACGUAGGGGGCAAGCGUUAUCCGGAAUUACUGGGUGUAAAGGGUGCGUAGGUGGCAUGGUAAGUCAGAAGUGAAAGCCCGGGGCUUAACCCCGGGACUGCUUUUGAAACUGUCAUGCUGGAGUGCAGGAGAGGUAAGCGGAAUUCCUAGUGUAGCGGUGAAAUGCGUAGAUAUUAGGAGGAACACCAGUGGCGAAGACGGCUUACUGGACUGUCACUGACACUGAGGCACGAAAGCGUGGGGAGCAAACAGGAUUAGAUACCCCGGUAC